CCCAGUCUGUGGUACUUUGUUGAGGCCGCCCUAGCAAAUCAGUACAGACGCAUUAGCUCAUGCAGUCCUCGCAAGACCUGCAAGAAACAGGUGGAGACCCAGGAAUCAAGAGAUGAAGAACAAAACCUCAGCUUAUUACAGAUAAAGCUGUGUAGAGAACGUGACUGGGGCAGGACACAUUGGCCCCGUGUCCAGCUGCCAGUACGCGCGUCUCCGCAUGACGGCUUUAUCUGGCCACUGGAGCCUGCUCCGCUCCCAAGCCCAGCAGGGGACCGGUGCCUCCUGGGAGCAGCCCUCAGCCAGUCACUACAGGACUUGGCGUCUAACUACUCCAGCUCCGCUGCUCCUGAGGGGGCGAAGCUGAGGCGUGCUCAGCACUGUCUCCCAGAACUCCCCAGCCGGAUUGCGCUCCAGUGCCCACCAUGGUAGACCCUCGGCUCACGUGUGGCUCUCAGGGAACCCGCACGAGGACUUCCAUGCUCUUCUCUGCAGCCACCAGCCACCUGAGUUCCCCACAGGCUCUGUCUCUACUCUCCUCCCUCUAAUCCAUUCCCCACACUUGUCCCCAGAGUCACCUUUUAAAACACAUCUGUUCCCCUCACUACUUGGCUGACUUCCCCUGGCCUCCAAGCUGAAGGGCUCUGUGUGCUUCCAUCUCCUCAACCUCUCCAGCGUCCGCCCGAGGUGCAGCCCUCAUCCCAUGCUUAGGCCAUACUAACCUGACUUACAGUGUCUCUGCCUUUGCACAUGCUGUUCCACCUGCCUGGUAUGCCCUUCCCUAUCUUAGUCACUCAGAAAACUUCUACUCAUCGAGCAAGACCCGUCUCAGAAGUCACCUCUCUCUGAAGCCUUCCUAGACCAUCCUAGAUAUUGACAACCUCUCCCUUCUCUUGUGUCCCAUUUGUACAGCAUUUACCCCUCGUAUCCAAGACUUACCUUACUUUGUUGUAGUUAUGUGUUUAUAGGUCUCGCUCCCCUGCAGGACUGUGAGCUCCCUGAAGGCAGGCUCAAUCCUCUUCUUUCUCAUCCCAACACCCAGCACUGACCCUGAACAAAUUAGGCCCCCAAUAAACACAAGUAUCCCUUGCUAUCCAAACUCUCCUAUAUGCUCGAAACCUAGGAACCCAAUAGAUCACGGCAACAUGGCAUCCCUCAGGAUUCUGAAUUCAUCAUCCAACAUCCUGCUGCCCGAAGCUGGGAGUUCCUGGAGGUGGACAGCGAGGGA